rnacentral:sRNA from 1 species
UUUUAGCCCUGAUCUUGUCAUUGUUGAAGCUCUUGUCUCUUCGAUAGAAAGAGACAAAGCGACUGACAAGAGCAGGAAAAUGG